ACCUGAACACUUUGGGCUCCUCAUGCCUCUGAAUCAACGGGCAAAGAAGAGAGUUAUAGAUCCUAACCACCCAGGAGAAAUUCGGUGGCCACUACACAAACAGAAUGUAUUAAUAGUAAUUAAAUUUAUAUCAUAGUCUUGAAAUUACAAGAUAUCCAACUUGAAGCAUGCAUUGGGAGAAGAAUAAAUAUCAUCCAAAGACAAAAAAACAACAACACGACGUUGUGUUCUACUAAAAGGAAAAAAGCCUAUUUUCAGAUGUACUUAGAAGAGAUACACCAUGUUAGCUUUUCUGACUCUGCGGCCAGGUGUUUGUAUUUAACUCCACGGUGAGGAGACUCAUCUUCUGACGGACCUAACCUAUACCAUCAAGCUCCAGCACCACAAGCAAAGACAAAAACCUUGCGGAAACUAUUUAACUAACUCCCACAAUUGCAUAAGGAUCUAAAUGAAAAUAUUUCUGCAGUGAACCAGUUCUAUUGUUUUAAAUAUCACCCUUAUUAAAGAGAGCUUUGACACUUUUCUA
rnacentral:lncRNA from 1 species